GGUACUUGUUUUACAUACUUCAGCAGAACAAGCUUUAAGUUUAAACACAUUUUUUUAGGUUGUCUAUAUAUAGUUUUAUUUUAUUCAGAUCAUCGAAAGAACUUUAUAAUUUAUCAUCCAGUUGGAUUGUUAUUGCUUUACAUUUUUAUUUAAUUCAAUUGGUUAUAUGUAUUUGAUUUUGUAGCUCGUUUUCUUUGGGUAAAUUUGUUAUUGAACACAAUGAAAAAAAGAGCUCGUGCACUGAAAAAAGAGAGAAGGAUGGUCAAUGUUUCCUGAGAGACUCGUCGAUUUCCAUAUAACUGAAUGACGAUGAAAGGUAUAUGAUUGUUAACCUAAUUAUCUAAUAUAAAACUGCAUGAGAUUGUUGCUGAUCCAGCAUUCUUGGUGAUAUGAAGCUCGACAUAUCAUUCUGUUAUUUAUAAUAUGUAAUGACCACAUCGGGUUUUUCCCAAGCGAUUACAAAUGCCCUUUCACACUAUUAUUUCAUUCUUUCAUGAGUUUUUUUUCUCAUGCUCUACUAGGGACUGCUAUACAAAGAUUGUGGGUUGGUAUACAGAGAAUGCACCAGUGCUGGACAGUUACAAAAUGUAGCAACUUCCUUACUGGAGUUUUGGAACUCAAUGGACGCAACAAUGAAAGAGCAUGGCAAGCUUUUUACUGAGUUCAUUAAUUAUGUGAGUCGAGAGUUUUUGCUUUAAGGGGAACGAUAUGGUUCUUCGUUUUUAUUUUUUGAUUUAUUUUGUUAUGUCCAAAACAUAUACAACUGCGUAUCAGACUAUUUUGAUAUUUAUCUGGCAGGUCAAAGCUGAAAUUUCUCGACUGAGAAGAUGAAAGGCAGCAAAAUGAAGGAAGUCGUUUAAAAAAGGUAAGGCAAAUAUAGAAUAUAUUUGUAUGAAGCCACAAUUGGUUCCAACAAUAACCUGUUUGGGUAAAUUCUUUACGCCCCUUUUUCUUUGUCUUCCUUUCGUUGUUUUUGGUGCGUAAUCUGUUCGCAACUGUUUUUCUUCAAUUGGAGAGAGGCAGUUUGGUCUCAAUUGCAGCAGAGCAUUGCACAUCUAUCUUUUUCUUCAAGUCGUAUCUAUCUGCUCAGGUAUUAGAUAAGUUUUUUUUGGACCUCUUUCACAAUUAUUUCAUUGUUUUUAUUUUCUGCAGGUGCUCUACAUUGUAUGCCUCCCAUGGCAGUGCAGAGUCUUCUAAUAUACGGUGUUGUCCGACAAUGCUAUUCGAAUAUUUUUUGUCGUGAUCUCAUGCACUUGUAUAAGUUGAACAGAUCUGUGUUUAGUUUGGCAACACUAAUUCUCAUAUAAAUGCAUCUCCGACUUUUUUUAAACUAUGCAACAUGUCGAAUACACACGGGCACCGCGCCUUGCGCGGUGCUCCAUACC